rnacentral:rRNA from 1 species
AGGAUGAACGCUGGCGGUCUGCUUAACACAUGCAAGUCGAACGGAGUAGCAAUACUUAGUGGCGGACGGGUGAGUAACGCGUGAGAAUCUACCUUCAGGACGGAGACAACAGUUGGAAACGACUGCUAACCCCCGAUGUACCGCAAGGGCAAAUAUUUAUAGCCUGAAGAAGAGCUCGCGUCCGAUUAGCUAGUUGGAGAGGUAAAAGCUCACCAAGGCGACGAUCGGUAGCUGGUCUGAGAGGACGAUCAGCCACACUGGGACUGAGACACGGCCCAGACUCCUACGGGAGGCAGCAGUGGGGAAUUUUCCGCAAUGGGCGAAAGCCUGACGGAGCAAGACCGCGUGGGGGAAGAAGGCUCUUGGGUUGUAAACCCCUUUUCUCUGGGAAGAACACAAUGACGGUACCAGAGGAAUCAGCAUCGGCUAACUCCGUGCCAGCAGCCGC